ACGAACGCUGGCGGCAUGCCUCACACCUGCAAGUCGAACGAGACCUUCGGGUCUAGUGGCGCACGGGUGCGUCACGCGUGGGAACCUGCCCUUAGGUUCGGAAUAACUCCCCGAAAGGGGUGCUAAUACCGGAUAAUGUCUUCGGACCAAAGAUUUAUCGCCUUUGGAUGGGCCCGCGUUGGAUUAGCUAGUUGGUAGGGUAAAAGCCUACCAAGGCGACGAUCCAUAGCUGGUCUGAGAGGAUGAUCAGCCACACUGGGACUGAGACACGGCCCAGACUCCUACGGGAGGCAGCAGUGGGGAAUAUUGGACAAUGGGCGAAAGCCUGAUCCAGCAAUGCCGCGUGAGUGAUGAAGGCCUUAGGGUUGUAAAGCUCUUUUACCCGGGAUGAUAAUGACAGUACCGGGAGAAUAAGCGCCGGCUAACUCCGUG
rnacentral:rRNA from 1 species